GUGCCAGCCGCCGCGGUAAUACCGGCAGCCCGAGUGAUGGCCGAUCUUAUUGGGCCUAAAGCGUCCGUAGCUGGCUGCGCAAGUCUGUCGGGAAAUCCACCUGCUCAACAGGUGGGCGUCCGGCGGAAACUGUGUGGCUUGGAACCGGAAGGCUCAGAGAGUACGUCCGGGGUAGGAGUGAAAUCCCGUAAUCCCGGACGGACUACCGAUGGCGAAAGCACUCUGAGAAGACGGCUUCGACAGUGAGGGACGAAAGCUCGGGUCUCAAACCGGAUUAGAAACCCCUGUAGUCC
rnacentral:rRNA from 1 species